AUGAGUGUGAUCUGCGUCCUCAUCUGGACUCUCCUCUGCUGCUGCUUCACAGAGUCCAGAGGACAGGUCACAGUGACUCAGCCUGGAGCAGUGAGCUCCAAUGUGGGAGGAUCUGUCUCCAUCUCAUGCAGAACCAGUCAACAAAUUGACUCCCACUAUUUAUCCUGGUAUAAACAGAAAGAUGGAGAAGUUCCUAAACUACUAUUUUAUUAUAUUGGCCACAGAGUAUCAGGGACUCCAAAUCGUUUUACAGAUGGUGGAUCAAACUCUGAUUUCACUCUGACCAUCAGUGAUAUUCAGGCUGAAGAUGCAGCAGUUUAUUACUGUAAGGAGGUUUUUGUACGACGCUUCAACCAGUUUGUAUCACUGUGGUGGACUUUUGGUGGAGGAACCAGACUGGAGUUUGGAAAUGACACCAGUCCAUCCCUGACCGUGCUCCUCCCCUCCAAGGAGGAGAAGCAGCAGGGAAAUGCCACACUCAUGUGUGUGGCCAACAAGGGCUUCCCCUCAGACUGGACUCUGUCCUGGAAGGUGGACGGCUGCAUUAAGAGCAGCAGCUGCUGGGAGGAGAGCAGGAGCCCCGGGGUGCUGCAGAAGGACGGCCUCUACAGCUGGAGCAGCACCCUGAGGCUCUCUGCAGACCAGUGGGAGAAGGUGGACUCUGUGACCUGUGAGGCCAAGAGAGGAUCCCAGACUCCAGUCUCAGAGACUCUCAGGAGAGACCAGUGCUCCCAGUCCUGAAACAUUCAGACUUUACAGUCUUUUCUUUGAAAUAUUUUCCAUUUUGUUCUGUUUUUGCUUACAAUCUUUUGUUCUUGAGCUGUUUGAAUUUUUGCUUUUCCCACGUGUAACCUUUUUAGGAGCUGGAAAUGUUUCUUUUUUUU